UCGAGAAUCAUUCGCAAUGGGCGAAAGCCUGACGAUGCGACGCCGUGUGGAUGAAGAAGGCCUUCGGGUUGUAAAAUCCUUUCGCCUGGGAACAAGGGAGGCGGUUUAAUAAACCGCCAACUUGAGGGUACCAGGUAAAGAAGCACCGGCUAAUCACGUGCCAGCAGCUGCGGUAAUACGUGAGGUGCAAGCAUUAAUCGGAUUUACUGGGCGUAAAGGGCGCGUAGGCGGAGAUGUAAGUCAGGUGUGAAAUUCUGGGGCUCACCCUCAGAACGGCACUUGAGACUGCAUCCCUAGAGGGUAGAUGGAGAAAGCGGAAUUCCACAUGUAGCGGUGAAAUGCGUAGAUAUGUGGAGGAACACCUGUGGCGAAAGCGGCUUUCUAAUUUAUACCUGACGCU
rnacentral:rRNA from 1 species